UGAGUUUGCUGCGUUUUCUGUCCCCUUUGCCUCGCUGUGACAUCUUUGGUAUAUUCCAACUUGUUGCUCGCUCUUUAUGGGCUACACGUUGCCUCGAAGAUCACCAUGAUUGCCUCCGACUCAGCCACAUCGAAGAAUCAAAAUGAGCCUGGAGACGCCACAGCCGGAAUGGGAAAGGUUGGAGAAGUGCUCAUUCAGAUGAUCCUGGCACAGCUUGCCCUGGUGAACCAGGCAAGUUUGCAAGGGCCUUGAUUCACCAUGUGUUUACAGAGAAGAACCUCAUGGGCCACUCACUUCUCGGAAACAACACCACCAAUAGGCAAAAAGAGGCUCUUGGCCUUAUCAGGGUCAACGCUGUUA